rnacentral:rRNA from 1 species
ACGUCUACAUUAGAUACCCCGGUAGUCCCAGCCGUAAACUAUGCGCGUUAGGUGUAUCGGUGACCACGAGUUACCGAGGUGCCGAAGGGAAACCGUGAAACGUGCCGCCUGGGAAGUACGGUCGCAAGGCUGAAACUUAAAGGAAUUGGCGGGGGAGCACCACAACAGGUGGAGCCUGCGGUUUAAUUGGACUCAACGCCGGGAAGCUCACCGGAUAGGACAGCAGAAUGAUUGCCGGGCUGAAGACCCUGCAUGACUAGCUG